UAAUUGCUUAGUAGAGAUAAUACAUUCAACAACAUUCAUUACAGUAAAAUGAAAUAACUAGGAAAAUAGCUAAUCAUGAAAACAUGAGACCCCUCUGGAAAGACCAAAACAGAAAAAGUGAUGAGGGAGAACCAUGAAAGGGAUUUUUCUAUUUUGGGGUUACUCCCUGUACCUCUCCAAUUUCAUCCCCUACCCCCCAUUCCAUUUUUAUCCUUUACUCUAUUUUUUCUAUUCCAAUUUUAUCCUUUAACAAAAAUUUAUAUUUAGAAAUAAAAUUUUAUGAUUUUAUUCUCCCACCCCCACAUAACCUAUUUAUUCUUUUUUUUAUCUUCAUG
rnacentral:lncRNA from 1 species